AUAACAGUGGUGGCAAAGAUGUGUCAAAUACUUUUGUUAAUGGCUUUUGGUACCUUGACCAGCUGGGAAUGACAUCAACCUUCAACCACAAAGUUUAUUGUAGACAAGCACUAGUUGGAGGAAACUAUGGUUUGCUAGACACCACAACCUUCAUUCCUAACCCAGAUUAUUAUGGAGCUCUUUUGUGGCAUCG